rnacentral:rRNA from 1 species
CCACGGGCGGCAGCAGUGGGGAAUAUUGGACAAUGGGCGAAAGCCUGAUCCAGCCAUGCCGCGUGUGUGAAGAAGGCCUUCGGGUUGUAAAGCACUUUCAGUGGGGAAGAAAGCCUUGGGGCUAAUACCCUCGAGGAAGGACAUCACCCACAGAAGAAGCACCGGCUAACUCCGUGCCAGCAGCCGCGGUAAUACGGAGGGUGCGAGCGUUAAUCGGAAUUACUGGGCGUAAAGCGCGCGUAGGCGGUCUGAUAAGCCGGUUGUGAAAGCCCCGGGCUCAACCUGGGAACGGCAUCCGGAACUGUCAGGCUAGAGUGCAGGAGAGGAAGGUAGAAUUCCCGGUGUAGCAGUGAAAUGCGUAGAGAUCGGGAGGAAUACCAGUGGCGAAGGCGGCCUUCUGGACUGACACUGACGCUGAGGUGCGAAAGCGUGGGUAGCAAACAGGAUUAGAUACCCUAGUAGUC